rnacentral:rRNA from 1 species
UACGUAAGGGGCAAGCGUUGUCCGGAAUCACUGGGCGUAAAGCGCACGUAGGCGGAUUGCUAAGUCAGGGGUGAAAUCCUGGAGCUCAACUCCAGAACUGCCUUUGAUACUGGCGAUCUUGAGUCCGGGAGAGGUGAGUGGAACUGCGAGUGUAGAGGUGAAAUUCGUAGAUAUUCGCAAGAACACCAGUGGCGAAGGCGGGUCUCUGGACAGUUCCUGACGCUGAGGCACGAAGGCCAGGGGAGCAAACGGG